rnacentral:rRNA from 1 species
GACGAACGCGGGCGGCGUGCCUAACACAUGCAAGUCGAGCGGAGAUGAUGUGAGGAAGUUUUCGGAUGGAAUCACAUUAUUUUAGCGGCGGACGGGUGAGUAACGCGUGAGCGACCAACCUUGCACAGGGGGAUAACGGACUGAAAGGUUCACUAAUACCGCAUGAGACCACGGUGUUGCAGGACACAGGGGUGAAACGAGGAAACGGGUGCAAGACGGGCUGGCGUCCGAUUGGGUAGUUGGAGGGGUAACGGCCCACCAAGCCUGUGAUCGGUAGCCGACCUGAGAGGGUGAUCGGACACAUUGGAACUGAGAUACGGUCCAAACUCCUACGGGAGGCAGCAGUGGGGAAUAUUGGGCAAUGGGGGAAACUCUGACCCAGCAACGCCGCGUGAAGGAAGAAGGUUUUCGGAUUGUAAACUUCUGUCCUUGGUGAAGAGAAGAAGACGGUAGCCAAGGAGGAAGCCCCGGCUAACUACGUGCCAGCAGCCGCGGUAA